UACGAAGGGGGCGAGCGUUGUUCGGAUUUACUGGGCGUAAAGGGCGCGCAGGCGGCCGCUCAAGUCAGGCGUGAAAGCCCCGGGCUUAACCUGGGAACUGCGUCUGGGACUGAGUGGCUAGAGUUCGGGAGAGGAGAGUGGAAUUCCCAGUGUAGCGGUGAAAUGCGUAGAGAUCGGGAGGAAUACCAGAGGCGAAGGCGGCAGACUGGACAGCAACUGACACUCAACUACGAAAGCGUGGGUAGCAAACAGG
rnacentral:rRNA from 1 species